CGUCUCGCGCUGUGGUUGCGUCUCUGAGGGAAUAAAUCACGUCAUCCUUAUUUACGCGUUUGGCGUUCAAGGAGCUAAAAUAUAUUACAACAGAACUUACUUAUAGCAACCACUAUUUUGUGUUAUUAAAUAUUGUAUAUAUAAUAUAAAACGGACGCGAUGUUUCUUAAGGUACCUAUUUAAACAGCAAAAAAUCUAGUUUCCCCUCUUGACAGAUAUAUAAAAGCCACAAUUCAAUUUAAAAUAUCGCUUUACAUUGUGUCACGAAGCCCUGCACUGAUUCAGGUCACCUGGAGUCGUUUGAAGAAGUGGCUGCGAAUGUAUAGCUGGAGAACAUCUCGUUUUAAAUGAGAAGACAAAGGUUGGAAGGUGAUGGCGAAUAAACAGGGAACGGACAGCGGCCCUCAGAGACAUCAGGGGCCCCCGGUAAGGUCAGGGGCCCCGGAUGAAGCGCUAUCUUCAACAUCCGGAACAGACCGAAGCCUCUCGCUGUAAACAUUGAAGGAGGAGGUCGUCGACUUAAU